UUAUGCACGCUUUUCCUGGUGCAUCGGAUGCAACUGCGUACCAUGUUAUAUACUGCACUAGACACUCUAUGCCUUCAGCCAGUCCUGCCUAUAGAUUUUGUUACUAUACCUGCGGCUAUACGUAUCGGCUACUUGGGUGUUAAAAGUUGAGGACCUCCUGCGGAGACUGUACUUGGAAUAUAAUAAGGGAGAGAACAGUGGCAGUAAGGAAGUUACAACCCUGAUCUUCAACUGAAAACUAAUGUCACCCAGUUUUAUUAUGACGUUCCAUAACAUUAAUAUUAUAUUGGUGCACUGCCGCAAGUUCUUGAAGGCGCCUAAAAAUUUAAUCAACCUCAACUAGGGGGGGACGGGGGGAGGGAGGCUGACCAACCCUAGAAUUUUUCCAGGGAUUCAAUCAAACGCACUCCCUACAGAUACAACGAUAUAUAUGCAAUCUAUGGGAUUUUAAUGAACGAGAUGUCACGUGUGUUUCGUGGACACCCUAACAGAUUUCCAUAUCACGGAUGUUCACUACAAAAUCAACCCGCAUCUCUACCGACGAUUGCAGAAAUACAGCUGCAGUCCCAGGCAUGGAUCUUUCAUCUCCGG